AUUGAACGCUGGCGGCAUGCCUUACACAUGCAAGUCGAACGGGAACGGGCCUUCCUUUGCCGACGAGUGGCGAACGGGUGCGUAAUACAUCCGAACGUGCCCGCUCGUGGUGGGUAACGGGUCGCAAGCUUUGCUAGUACCUCAUACGACCUACGUCUGAGAGCAGGAGGCCUCAAGGCCGUGCGCGGGCGCAGCGUCCUGUGGCGGAUUAGGUAGUUGGUGGGGUAACAGCUUGCCAAGGCGACGAUCUGUAGCCGAUCUGAGAGCGGGAUCGGCCACAGUGGGACUGAGACACGGCCCAAACUCCUACGGGAGGCAGCAGUAGGGAAUCUUCCGCAAUGGACGCAAGUCUGACGGAGCAACGCCGCGUGAGUGAAGAAGGUUUUCGGAUCGUAAAACGCUGUUGUUAGAGAAGAACAAGUGCUAGAGUAACUGUUAGCGCCUUGACGGUAUCUAACCAGAAAGCCACGGCUAACUACGUG
rnacentral:rRNA from 1 species